AGCAGCCGCGGUAAUUCCAGCUCCAAUAGCGUAUAUUAAAGUUGUUGCAGUUAAAAAGCUCGUAGUUGAAUUUCGGGGUUAGUAGGUUGGUCAUGCCUCUGGUAUGUACCGGUCUCACUGAUUCCUCCUUCCUGAUGAGCCGUAAUGCCAUUAAUUUGGUGUUGCGGGGAAUUUGGACUGUUACUUUGAAAAAUUAGAGUGUUUAAAGCAAGCUAACGCUUGAAUACAUUAGCAUGGAAUAAUGAAAUAGGACGUUCGAUCCUAUUUUGUUGGUUUCUAGGAUUGACGUAAUGAUUAAUAGGGAUAGUUGGGGGCAUUAGUAUUCAAUUGUCAGAGGUGAAAUUCUUGGAUUUAUUGAAGACUAACUACUGCGAAAGCAUUUGCCAAGGAUGUUUUCAUUAAUCAAGAACGAAAGUUAGGGGAUCGAAGACGAUCAGAUACCGUCGUAGUCUUAACCAUAAACUAUGCCGACUAGGGAUCGGAUGAUGUUAAUUUUUUAAUGUACUCAUUCGGCGCCUUA
rnacentral:misc_RNA from 1 species